AGAGUUUGAUCCUGGCUCAGAGCGAACGCUGGCGGCGUGCUUAACACAUGCAAGUCGAACGUGAAAUGUAGCAAUACAGAGUAAAGUGGCGUACGGGUGAGUAACACGUGGGUAAUCUACCAAAGAGUCUGGAAUAACCGGCCGAAAGGCUGGCUAAUACUAGAUAGUUCAAGCGUAUUGUAAGGAUACGAUUGGGAAAG
rnacentral:rRNA from 1 species